rnacentral:misc_RNA from 1 species
UAGGCGUGCAUCUGAUGGCUCUCCUCGAAAGGCAAGAAGAAAACGAACGGUCAGCGCAGCAGGCGGCAAGAGACCGGUCAAGCUGGCCGUCGUGAGGUGCCAAAGACGAGCAUUCCAUGUGUUGUCCUAUCCCGGCAGCAUCGCACUCUCUGUGCUGGUGCUGCGCCUUUUCCAUCGCCAACCUUCUUCCCAUGCUGCAGGUUCUCGCCAUGGGGCUUCGCUCGUAGGGGCGCCGGCUCCUGGCAGAUGCAAAGAAGGUCACACGCGUCGCUGAAGCAAUCAGAGACCUAAACUCGUUUUUCGUUUUCGAUGGACAAACUCAGCCGCCGCUACCGAGAGGGACGACCGCCACGCACACAUGGAUGUCUACGUGCACCCCUCGCCGACUGGAUUCCCUUCGUGAUGCCUUUUAAGAUGACGGUGUCCGUUGGCCAUGCGCCUGCUCGCUUCAGGCGGUGAUGACGCGCAUCACUAUUGAGGCCAGACGUGCUUCUCGUAGACUUUUUCAUCAACGUAUUUUCUUUGUGGCCCUCCUCUUUUCUUUUUUUCUGUGUGCUGCCCCCCCUUCUCCCCCGAGGAUGGCCUGCUUCUCCAG